rnacentral:lncRNA from 1 species
AUGACUCAAAAGCGUCCCAGUUCCCACUAUGAUAGUGUCCUGGGAUCGCAGCUUCUUUCCAGAAGAAGUGAGAGUGCUUCACUAAAUUAUGUAUACCAGCCACCUUUAGCGUUUGAAGAUUGGUCAUGUGAUAGCAAAAGGAAACAAAGACAAUAUGAUAAGGAGACUAAACAGGACAUUAUCCCUCAUCCACUCCCUGAGAUCUUGAGCCUCUCUGGCAUCCACAGGAAGUCAAGGAACCCAGUGAAUUCCUAUAGGGGAUGAUUCCUUAUAGGAAUCCUUAUAGGGAUUCCUAUAAGUGAAUUCCUAUAAGGCUCUUACCCCGAAAAUUUAUAGAAAUAUCUAUAAUGCCUCAGUUUCCCAAACCCCGUGACCAGAGAAAGUGGGCUACCAUCGGGUGAAGAUGGAGAGAGCACAGAGGCCAUGCUAUCUUUCAGCUUAUGGGGCUUCUUUCCAAGUUUGCAAAUUGCAGGACUCAAUCUGUUUAUAAAAAAACAUUACCUGGAGGAGAUAACAUAUCUUCAUCUUUAUUUGGGGAGGCUGUAUAGCAUAAAGGUUUAAAAGGCCAAAACUCUGGGAUACCCGGGUGGCUCAGUGGUUGAGAGUCUGCCUUUGGCUCAGGGUUGAUCUUGGGGUCCUGAGAUUGAGUCCCGCACCGGGCACCGCAUGGAGCCUGCUUCUCCCUCUGCCUGUGUCUCUGCCCCUCUCUCUGUGUCUUUCAUGAAUACACAAUAACAUCUUUAAAAAAACAAUAAAAAAUAAAUAAAAAACAAAAGGCCAAAACUCUGGCACCGAAGUAUUUGGAAUUAAAUCCCAGCUUCCCCACCUACUAGCUGUUUAACCAGGUCUCUGUCUCUCAGAUUCCACAUCUGAAAACUGCUAAGAGGAUGGCAACCAUUACAUCUACCUCACAGGGUUGUCACAGGAAUUCUAUAAAAUGCUCAGCACAGAGCACAUAGUAAGGGCUACAUGAGCGUUGUUGUUAAAUAUAAACACAACAUGUUAUUUCCCAGGAGUCCACCUAAGUCCAGUGGGCGCUCUUCACCACUCAGAUUUGUUCCUCAUCCCAGGUCCCUCUGGACUUACAUAAGACACUAACAAUCAUCUUCAUAAUGAAUGACAUGAGGACAUAAGGACUCUCGUUUGGGUAGCCUGCCAGUAGAAUAGAUAAAAAGAUAAAUUUUUAAAAAGGACUCUAGAAUUUCUUUCUUCCCGCAACACCGAACAGCAGGGAGAGAAAACUAUAAAGCCUUGUGUCGGGACUGGAGCCCUGGGAAGGCCAGCAGGUCCAGGAUGUCACAGCUGCCCCCCGCAGUCUCUCCGUGUACAAGGACAUAGGGUUGUGCAACACGCACAUUCGAGUUGCAAGGUGACAGCAAGAGCAGCCCUCCAGGGGUCACGCCAACAAGGCAUUUUUAAGAUCACUUGUUAUUUGAAAUCCUCUAAAGCAGAACAGCAGCAGUAUCUAAAAUGCGUGCCUCAGCAAGCUGACGGUCACUGUCCUGGCAUGGCUCUGUCCCCACCCCAUGAUGGCAGGACCACGACAGGAAACUUGGAGCCCUCAACUAUAGAAAUAGGGAAGGACUUGAAGCACAAGCCAGUGAUCAGCACUCUCUGAUGACGACAGGGCUGACAAAAUCUUAGAAGCACCAGGUUUUAAUGCCAAUCUGCCUUCCAGUCUCAUCGAACACACUUGAAUCAGGGGAGGGGUCUUUCUCUCCAGACUGCCAGCAACAGUCUUUUCUGGCUUUAGAUCCAUGUGAGCCU